rnacentral:pre_miRNA from 1 species
UACGUACUCCCUCCGUUCUGAAUUAAUCGUCGCAGAAAUGAAUGUAUCUAGAUGUAUUUUAGUUUUAUUAGUACAUCCAUUUCUGUGACGAAUAAUUUAGAACGGAGGAAGUAGUAC